rnacentral:tRNA from 1 species
GCGCUAAUAGCUCAGUUGGGAGAGCGUCAGACUGAAGUAAUAUUUGGUCCAUUCCAUUAAUCCGGGGUAAUCUGAAGGUCACCCGUUCAAUCCGGGUUUGGCGCA